AUUUUGACCUUUGCUUUGAGACUUGUGAUUUGAGAUCUUGAGAUUCAUAUGAUACCUUUGACUUUGGACUUCUUAUGGAGACUUGGUUAAGUUACUUUGGUUUCAUCUGAUGCAUGGAUUGUUAUUUGCUUAUUUGGCUUGCUUGAGGCUUAAUCCAAAGGAGGGAAUUCUUACUUGACUUAUGUCAUAAAGCUUACUAUCUCUUGGUUAGAUCUUUCCUCUCUAGUUUUUACUUUAUGCUCUAGGAUAGUGUCUUCUUCUCCUCCAUUUCUUUAAUUUUUAAAUCUUCUCCCUCUUUUUUCAAAAACUUUCUUGUUUUCAAACUUGAAUCACUUUCUCAAUAAACCUUGACUUUUGUCAAGAUAUUUUCAAAAUCUU
rnacentral:lncRNA from 1 species